rnacentral:rRNA from 1 species
GGCGAACGCUGGCGGCGUGCUUAACACAUGCAAGUCGAACGGAAAGGCCCUGCUUUUGUGGGGUGCUCGAGUGGCGAACGGGUGAGUAACACGUGAGUAACCUGCCCUUGACUUUGGGAUAACUUCAGGAAACUGGGGCUAAUACCGGAUAGGAGCUCCUGCUGCAUGGUGGGGGUUGGAAAGUUUCGGCGGUUGGGGAUGGACUCGCGGCUUAUCAGCUUGUUGGUGGGGUAGUGGCUUACCAAGGCUUUGACGGGUAGCCGGCCUGAGAGGGUGACCGGCCACAUUGGGACUGCGAUACGGCCCAGACUCCUACGGGAGGCAGCAGUGGGGAAUAUUGCACAAUGGGCGGAAGCCUGAUGCAGCAACGCCGCGUGCGGGAUGACGGCCUUCGGGUUGUAAACCGCUUUCGCCUGUGACGAAGCGUGAGUGACGGUAAUGGGUAAAGAAGCACCGGCUAACUACGUG